rnacentral:rRNA from 1 species
CACGUAGGGUGCGAGCGUUGUCCGGAAUUAUUGGGCGUAAAGAGCUCGUAGGCGGUGUGUCGCGUCGGCCGUGAAAACCUGCAGCUUAACUGUAGGCUUGCGGUCGAUACGGGCAUCACUGGAGUUCAGCAGGGGAAACUGGAAUUCCUGGUGUAGCGGUGAAAUGCGCAGAUAUCAGGAGGAACACCGGUGGCGAAGGCGGGUCUCUGGGCCGAUACUGACGCUGAGGAGCGAAAGCGUGGGGAGCGAACAGG